rnacentral:rRNA from 1 species
GACAGAGGGUGCAAACGUUGUUCGGAAUUACUGGGCGUAAAGCGCGUGUAGGCGGCCCUGUAAGUCGGGUGUGAAAUCCCACGGCUCAACCGUGGAAGUGCAUUCGAAACUACAGGGCUAGAGUUCUGGAGAGGAAGGUGGAAUGCUUGGUGUAGAGGUGAAAUUCGUAGAUAUCAAGCGGAACACCGGUGGCGAAGGCGGCCUUCUGGACAGUAACUGACGCUGAGACGCGAAAGCGUGGGGAGCAAACAGG